UGUUUGUGUUGUCGCUUUGUAUAGGAUACGUGUUGUUAUGUCGGCUGUUUCCAUUUUGUGUGUGUUUUCUCUGUGUUGUCUCUUUGUAUUGUGUACAUGUUGUUGUGUCUAUUGUUUCCAUGUUCUGUAUGUGUUGUGUGUGUGUGUUGUCUCUUUGUAUUGUGUACGUGUUGUUGUGUCUAUUGUUUCCAUGUUCCGUAUGUGUUGUGUGUGUGUGUUGUCUCUUUGUAUUGUGUACAAACGUGUUGUUGUGUCUAUUGUUUCCAUGUUCUGUAUGUGUUGUGUGUGUGUGUUGUCUCUUUGUAUUGUGUACAAACGUGUUGUUGUGUCUAUUGUUUCCAUGUUCUGUAUGUGUUGUGUGUGUGUGUUGUCUCUUUGUAUUGUGUACAAACGUGUUGUUGUGUCUAUUGUUUCCAUGUUCCGUAUGUGUUGUGUGUGUGUGUUGUCUCUUUGUAUUGUGUACGUGUUGUUGUGUCUAUUGUUUCCAUGUUCUGUAUGCGUUGUGUGUGUGUGUUGUCUCUUUGUAUUGUGUACAAACGUGUUGUUGUGUCUAUUGUUUCCAUGUUCCGUAUGUGUUGUGUGUGUUUUCUCUCUGUUGUCUCUUAGUAUUUUGUACGUGUUGUUGUGUCUAUUGUUUCCAUGUUCUGUAUGCGUUGUGUGUGUGUGUUGUCUCUUUGUAUUGUGUACAAACGUGUUGUUGUGUCUAUUGUUUCCAUGUUCCGUAUGUGUUGUGUGUGUUUUCUCUCUGUUGUCUCUUAGUAUUGUGUACGUGUUGUUGUGUCUAUUGUUUCCAUGUUCCGUAUGUGUUGUGUGUGAUUUCUCUCUGUUGUCUCUUUGUAUUGUGUACGUGUUGUUGUGUCUAUUGUUUCCAUGUUCUGUAUGUGUUGUGUGUGUUGUCUCUUUGUAUUGUGUACAAACGUGUUGUUGUGUCUAUUGUUUCCAUGUUCUGUAUGUGUUGUGUGUGUUGUCUCUUUGUAUUGUGUACAAACGUGUUGUUGUGUCUAUUGUUUCCAUGUUCCGUAUGUGUUGUGUGUGUUGUCUCUUUGUAUUGUGUACAAACGUGUUGUUGUGUCUAUUGUUUCCAUGUUCCGUAUGUGUUGUGUGUGUUUUCUCUCUGUUGUCUCUUAGUAUUGUGUACGUGUUGUUGUGUCUAUUGUUUCCAUGUUCUGAAUGUGUUGUGUGUGUUGUCUCUUUGUAUUGUGUACAAACGUGUUGUUGUGUCUAUUGUUUCCAUGUUCCGUAUGUGUUGUGUGUGUUGUCUCUUUGUAUUGUGUACGUGUUGUUGUGUCUAUUGUUUCCAUGUUCUGUAUGUGUUGUGUGUGUUGUCUCUUUGUAUCGUGUACAAACGUGUUGUUGUGUCUAUUGUUUCCAUGUUCCGUAUGUGUUGUGUGUGUUUUCUCUCUGUUGUCUCUUAGUAUUGUGUAUGUGAUGUUGUGUCUAUUGUUUCCAUGUUCGGUAUGUGUUGUGUGUGUUGUCUCUUUGUAUUGUGUACAAACGUGUUGUUGUGUCUAUUGUUUCCAUGUUCCGUAUGUGUUGUGUGUGUUUUCUCUCUGUUGUCUCUUAGUAUUGUGUACGUGUUGUUGUGUCUAUUGUUUCCAUUUUCUGUAUGUGUUGUGUGUGUGUGUUGUCUCUUUGUAUUGUUUACGUGUUGUUGUGUCUGUUGUUUCCAUGUUCUGUAUGUGUUGUGUGUGUGUGUUGUUUCUUUGUAUUGUUUACGUGUUGUUGUGUCUGUUGUUUCCAUGUUCCGUAUGUGUUGUGUUGUUUCUUUGUAUUGUGUACGUACGUGUUGUUGUGUCUAUUGUUUCCAUGUUCCGUAUGUGUUGUGUGUGUUUUCUCUCUGUUGUCUCUUAGUAUUGUGUACGUGUUGUUGUGUCUAUUGUUUCCAUUUUCUGUAUGUGUUGUGUGUGUGUGUUGUCUCUUCGUAUUGUUUACGUGUUGUUGUGUCUGUUGUUUCCAUGUUCUGUAUGUGUUGUGUGUGUUGUCUCUUUGUAUUGUGUACAUGUUGUUGUGUCUAUUGUUUCCAUGUUCUGUAUGUGUUGUGUGUGUUGUCUCUUUGUAUUGUGUACGUACGUGUUGUUGUGUCUAUUAUUUCCAUGUUCCGUAUGUGUUGUGUGUGUUUUCUCUCUGUUGUCUCUUCGUAUUGUGUACGUGUUGUUGUGUCUAUUGUUUUCAUGUUCUGAGGGUGUUGUGUGUUGUCCCUGUGUUUUGUCUGUGCUGUCUCUUUUUAUUGUGUUUGCAGGAGGAAGCAGCUGUGUUUUUACACAAUACCUGGAAGUUGUUUUGUGUCAUAUUGUCACCCUGUCUGUGGUCACGUGAUGUGUUUUUUUCAUGAUAAUUGCUUUAGUGUAGUUGGAGUUCACACAUGCACACAAACACACACAACCUCUGUAGAAGUGUGUGACUCUCAUUUAUCAAGCUGACCGCAGUCUGUCAUCAGAUCACAGAAAAAAGUGAAGUUUCUCCAGCCGAGCGUGAGCAGACCACCUCUCAUGGACGCUGUUGAAAGAAACCUCUCUAUGUUAUGCUCUUGUGCUUUCAGUGCUCGUACCUGAACCCGUUUGAGAGCACCCAUACGUUCUAAAGUUCACCCUGAGAAACGAGUGUGAGGAGGGAGAUGAUCUGGUUGUCAUUCAGUGGUCUGACGUGUUUUGUGUUUGUCUGGCCGUGGGGAAAACUGAUGUGUGAUGGCUGCCAGAUGCAGCUACUGAUGAGUGUGUGUUGUGUAUCGGCAGUCAGAGUUUUCCAGCCUGAUUCAUCUCACACACGAGUGCUGACGGUGAUGUCAUCGGCCAACCUGCUAUUGGUUUCAUCCCUCUGACCGCAAACAGGAAAACCCUGGAGCUGAGAGAUGUGACAUCAGCGCUGUUGUGUCAGUGGAGCGGCGGCGGCGUGAGAGAGCUCGUGAUGUCACCUGCGGCUGCUGGUUCUCUGCGCAGCGAGCGUGACUAUGAGAGCGUGGUGCUGAUGAGACUGAGACAGGCCGAAGAAAGAAAGACAUUGAUCGAGCAGAUGAAGAGAGAGGAAGAGGACGAGAGGGCAUGACCUCACA